GUACCGUGGGCGAGACAGAGCAUGUGUUCUAGCAGGGCAGGCAACACGCUCACGCGUAUCUCCAACGAUUCCUAUUAUGACAAGGGCUCCCCAGAACCCGCAAGCCGGGCAGGAGGACCAAGAAUUUCAGGUCCCUCCAUGCUGUCCCGAGGGGUGUGAUUCCCUUCUGUUUUUACGGCCGGGUGGUGUUCCAUGCGCAAAGUCAUGCCAACAAUUGGGGGUACCCUUACAAUGCACUAAAACACAGGAUUGAAGACCAGGUCCUCACCGAACUGGAUUCCAACCACCUGGAACCACUGAGCUCGGCCCAUCCUCAGGGGGGAAACCGAUGACAGACAGGAAAACAGGUUUGUGGAGGGCUGGAGAGCCUGUGGUGGCCACCGACACUUCACAGCUCCACCACGGUCACCCAGCCACACCCAGGCUCCGAGACCUCCACCUCCCCAGGACAAGGGCCUGCCUGGGACCCCGAAAACCUGCCGGCUUCCCUGUCAUCCAGAGAACAACUUUCAAAAGUCCACUGGCAGGAGACAGCAGAAGGAAAUA